rnacentral:sRNA from 1 species
UAUCGGUUAUGCUUGCCUGAUGAGGUUC